rnacentral:rRNA from 1 species
GACGAACGCUGGCGGCGUGCUUAACACAUGCAAGUCGAACGGAAAGGCCUGCUUUCCCUUGUGGAUUGCGGGUACUCGAGUGGCGAACGGGUGAGUAACACGCGAGUGAUCUGCCCCCAACUUGGGUAUAAGCCUGGGAAACUGGGCCUAAUUCUCGAUAGGACUGCAGGGUGGUGCCGUUGGUGGAAAACGUUUUUCUAGUGGUAGGGGCUGAGCUCGCGCCCUAUCAGCUUGUUGGUGGGGUAGUGGCCUACCAAGGCGGCGACGGGUAGCCGGACUGAGAGGGUGGACGGCGACAUUGAGACUGGGAUACGGCCCAUACGCCUGCGGGAGGCAGCAGUGGGGAAUAUUGCGCAAUGGGCGGAAGGCUGAUGCAGCGCCGCCGCGUGGGGGAUGACGGCCUUCGGGUUGUAAACUCCUUUCGACCGCGAGGAAGCCACCUGGUUGGAAGGGUGUUGACGGUAGUGGUAGAAGAAGCACCGGCUAACUACGUG